rfam:Atta cephalotes unplaced genomic scaffold scaffold00036, whole genome shotgun sequence.
GUCCCUUUGGGGAAGUCAUUUGAGAAAAAUAAAAGUGAGCUAAUCUGUUCUUAUCAGCUUAAUAUCUGAUACAGUCCCCAUAGGGGGCUCAGUAUAUUAAUCUAUUUUUUGGGACCAGGCGGGUGCUCGGAGCUUGCUCCGACCUUGCCACGGGUCGACCCUGCAUUGCAUUGCAGCAGGGUACGGCCCAGCAGAG